UUUUUUUUUUUUUUCCUCUUUUUUUUUCUCUUCUGCAAUCUUUUGUAUUUGCACAUAGGCUAGUAGAUGUGUUUUCUGAGAUUCUUUUUAUUUAUUUAUUUAAUUUAUUUUUAAAAAAUAUUUUAUUUAUCUAUUCAUGAGAGACACACAGAGAGAGGCAGAGACACAGGCAGAGGGAGAAGCAGGCUCCCUGCAGGGAGCCCAACGGGGGACAUGACUCCAGGAUUAUACCCUGAGCUGAAGGCAGGUGCUUAACCGCUGAGCCACCCAGGUGUCCCAGAAUCUUUUUUUGUUUUUUUAUAAAGAUUUUUAUCUAUUUUAUUUGAGAGAGACUGGAAGAAAGCAUGUGAUUUGGGGGGAGGGGCAGAGGGAGAGAGAGAAUCGCAAGUAGACUGAAGAGGGAGCCUGACAUGGGGUUCCAUCUCAGGACCCUGAGGUCAUGACCUGAGUCAAAACCAAGAGUCAGAUGUUUAACCAACUGAGCCACCCAGGUGCCCUCUGUUUUCUGAGAUUCUUAAAUUCUUCCAUCAGCAUAUUUCACCCAUUUUCUGGGCUCUGUUGACAAGUUAGGAAAGGAACCACGUAAGCAGCGGAGCUAUUUCUUGUUCUAUAAAUAAAGACCAUUAAUAAAUUUAAUUCUGUGCAAAAAUUAAGAGGAAAGGGUGUACAAAACAAAAUAUCUUUUCCAGUAGUUGAGUACUGCAUACAUAAUUAGGUGUUCUUUUCAAAUAUCAAACAAUGAACAUCAGCUAUCUAGAAACCCUUUUUGGAUUUUUUUUCUUUUAAGGAACUAGUUCUGUUGCUUGUUUUUAUUUCUUGCAUUUUUCCAUUUAUGACUCAUCUUAUGCCUCUUGUGCUCGGUGUAAUGAAUACAGUUCUAUACCUUACAUUUCCAGACACUCAUUUGUAGUGUGCAGUACUUUCCAGGUUUCAGAGCCUUCCCUCCUUAACCCUCUGCCUCACUGGAACUUUGUGGUGAUACAGGCAAAGCAUCUGCUGCUUUCCAAACUGGGAAACUGAAGCUCAGGGAGAUGAAGUGACUUGCUCAGCAGCUAAGCUGGGUCCGAAACCCAGGUACUCUGACUCCCAAUAUUUUGGGCUUUCUGUUAUGCCAUCCUGCCUCCCCUCUUGUGUUUGCUUCCUUGUGAAGUUUACCACAAUUUCUCAAAGUCAGACUUAAAUUUUAGGUUGGCUUUGGCAGGAUGAUCGUAAAUUUGCAUUUCUCUAUACUCACUGAAGAAUGUAAAUAGGUACUUUAUUUCCCAGUCAAUACUGUUUGCAGUCAUUUGUUUGAAAAGUACGCAUUGGUGAUGGAUGUUAACUAGACUUAACAUGGUGAUUGUUUGUUUUGGCAACCUAUGCAAAGAUUGAAUCAUUAUGUUGUACACAUGAAACGAAUACGAUGUUACAUGUCAAUUACAUCUCAAUAAAAAAUACAUAUUGGACAUUGAUAUGAGCGAGGCAUUGUCAUAGCUUCUGGAUACAACACGGGAAAAAAGGCAGGAUCUUGACUGUUAUGAAAUCUGCAAUCCAAACGCAGAAUUUUUUUUCAGUGUAGGGUGAAUUACUAAAUGUCAUCCUUCUUGGAUCAGUUGGAGGGAGAGUGUUUGUGAACAGCCUUCUUGGAGAAGUCAUGUGUACUAUAUGCUUGAGGUCAUUGAUUUGGCUUGGUCAAUGGUUCAGGUGAAGACCUUUCAUGAAUUUUCUAAAAUGGUAUACAGUUGUAGUGAUUGGAACAUGAUGCCAUUGAUCGUCUUUGAAAUUGAUUUGGAUUUCUCAUUGUAUAAAGCAUGGAUGGUGUUGCUCUUGAGAAAACAUGUGAAAAUGAUUUCUGUUUAGAGAUUUUGCUAAAUCAAGACAGUAUGCUUGCAACAUACCAUCUAACAAUAUGUAAUAUUUGUUGAAUGUCAGGUUUGCAGUGAAUGCUUUGUAGAGGGAGGCAUUAUCAUCAUCAUCUCUAUUUUGCAAUCGAGGGACCAAGCCUUAGAGAUUACAUAAUUUAUUUACCAAGUGUCAGAGUUAGAAUUUGAGCCUUUGAGAUCUAAUUCCUCAGCUUUUGCUUUGACCAUUAUGCAGUAAUCCUCAUAGUGAAAGACACCUGAUGAAAUAGAUGAAGGUUAGUGAUGCAUGUUAGGGUUUGAUUCUAAGAAACUUAGAGAAGUUGAGAGCACUAGCUAUAUCAGUGUAUCACAGACUCCUUGUGUUUUUGCAAUUGUAAUACCACUCCUUCCUUGGUCUAGGUAUUUCAUAAAUGAUAAAUGAUAAAUAAAUAUCAUGUACAGUACUAUCAAUGUAUUUUCUCUUUCUUAUGAUUUUCUUAAAAAUAUUUUCUCUGGCUUACUUUAUGGUAAGAAUACAGUGUAAAAUACAUAUAACUAACAAUUAUGUGUUAAGUAACUCUUUAUGUUAUCAAUAAGGUGUCCAGUCAAGGGUAGGUAAUUAGUAGUUAAGUAUUGGGGGAGUUCCAAAGCUAUAUGUGAAUUCUGACUGUGCUGGGGGUCUGUGCCGUUAACAUCUGUGUUGUUCAAGGCUCAACUCUAUUUCAAAAAAUAGGUAGUCCAUCAAGAAGCUUGGAAAACUAAAAAAGUCCACAUUUUGGAAGUGUAGUCUACUUAUUUCACAAAAAUCUGAAGACUGAAGACAACUGUUUAUUACAUAUAAAUGUAGUCUUCACUCUUGCUUUCAUUUUGUGAUUGACAAGUUAGUGUUAAUGGUAUCCGACCUUUAGUUUUUUGUUGUUGCUUUCACCAACUUGUUUAGAGUGGGGGGGGAAAUUCUGAUUUUUGCUUUACUUUUUCUUUGGAGGCUAACUGAAAACCUUACAAAAAUCUUUCAGAGCCUUCUCUA
rnacentral:lncRNA from 1 species